GCUUGCUUUUUUGCCGGCGACCGGCGCACGGAUGCGGAACGCGUAUGGAACCUGCCCCUGUCAGGGGAAUAGCCCAGGGAAACUUGGAUUAAUGCCCCAUGGUACCGUUACAUCGCAUGAUGUUUCGGUUAAAGAUUUAUCGGACAGGGAUGGCCAUGCGUACCAUUAGUUAGUUGGCGGGGUAACGGCCCACCAAGGCAGCGAUGGUUAGGGGCCCUGAGAGGGGGAUCCCCCACACUGGUACUGAGACACGGACCAGACUCCUACGGGAGGCAGCAGUGAGGAAUAUUGGACAAUGGGCGGGAGCCUGAUCCAGCCAUGCCGCGUGCAGGAUGACGGCCCUAUGGGUUGUAAACUGCUUUUAUACGGGAAGAAACGCACCUACGUGUAGGUGUCUGACGGUACCGUAAGAAUAAGGACCGGCUAACUCCGUGCCAGCAGCCGCGGUAAUACGGAGGGUCCGAGCGUUAUCCGGAAUCAUUGGGUUUAAAGGGUCCGUAGGCGGGCCUGUAAGUCAGGGGUGAAAGUUUGUGGCUCAACCAUAAAAUUGCCUUUGAUACUGCAGGUCUUGAGUCAUGGUGGGGUUGCCGGAACAUGUGGUGUAGCGGUGAAAUGCAUAGAUAUCACAUAGAACACCGAUCGCGAAGGCA
rnacentral:rRNA from 1 species